CUUCACCGGGGCGCCCGCCGGCGGUCAACCGAAAGAAACUCUCUUGUCCUCCAGGGCGUCUCUGAGUCUUGUAUCAAACAAGUCAAAACUUUCAACAACGGAUCUCUUGGUUCUGGCAUCGAUGAAGAACGCAGCGAAAUGCGAUAAGUAAUGUGAAUUGCAGAAUUCAGUGAAUCAUCGAAUCUUUGAACGCACAUUGCGCCCGCCAGCAUUCUGGCGGGCAUGCCUGUUCGAGCGUCAUUUCAACCAUCAAGCCCGGCUUGUGUUGGGACCCUGCGGCUGCCCGCAGGCCCCGAAAUCCAGUGGCGGUCUCGCUGUCACCCCGAGCGCAGUAGGUAUCAUACAUCCUCGCUCAGGGCCGUGACGGCGGGCUCCGGCCGUUAAAGGGUGUGACGUACACACGCCUCCCACGCAAGGUUGACCUCGGAUCAGGUAGGAAUACCCGCUGAACUUAAGCAU
rnacentral:rRNA from 1 species